GUGCUCUCUUCAGCAGCACAUAUACUAACAUUGGAAUGACACAGAGAAGAUUAACAUGGCCCCUGUGCAAGGAUGACACACUAAUUCAUAAAGUGUUCCGUAUUUUU